rnacentral:snRNA from 1 species
GUAAAUAGUGACACAUUUGUGU